AGUGAACGCUGGCGGUAGGCCUAACACAUGCAAGUCGAACGGCAGCACAGUAAGAGCUUGCUCUUACGGGUGGCGAGUGGCGGACGGGUGAGGAAUACAUCGGAAUCUACUUUUUCGUGGGGGAUAACGUAGGGAAACUUACGCUAAUACCGCAUACGACCUACGGGUGAAAGCAGGGGAUCUUCGGACCUUGCGUGAUUGAAUGAGCCGAUGUCGGAUUAGAUAGUUGGCGGGGUAAAGGCCCACCAAGGCGACGAUCCGUAGCUGGUCUGAGAGGAUGAGCGGCCACACUGGAACUGAGACACGGUCCAGACUCCUACGGGAGGCAGCAGUGGGGAAUAUUGGACAAUGGGCGCAAGCCUGAUCCAGCCAUACCGCGUGGGUGAAGAAGGCCUUCGGGUUGUAAAGCCCUUUUGUUGGGAAAGAAAAGCAGCAUGUUAAUACCCCGCUGUUCUGACGGUACCCAAAGAAUAAGCACCGGCUAACUUCGUG
rnacentral:rRNA from 1 species